ensembl:lncRNA
GCUGAAAAAUUUGUUUUUGUAAAGAUUUUUUUUUGUCUUUAAAAAAGAAAAUCGAUGUCUGUAAAUAGAGUAACCUUUUGCUGUGUUUUUCCUUUAGCUCGUUUUUUUUUUCUUCUUCUGCAUUUUAACAUUGCUUUUUAAAUUCCAGUCGGAUGGAUCGGUGGGUGCAACAAGACACUGUGGAGAUUUUUGUGGUCAGUCGGGCGAAGAGCGUUGAGCUUCCAGCAUCUGACACGUCAGUGAUCAGAUGAGACUAUGAAGCGGUUUGGACUGUAUUUCUCUGCUGUCUGGAUAUUGUGCCGCUGCUGCUGUCUUGUCUGUGGCAGAGAUCAAGGUGUGUGCAGUUUAGGGAAGCUCCUUACCAGAAUCAAUUUAAUCACAGAACUACAGUCUGAAAUCCUGCUGCCGUGCCUUUUUGAAGCAGCUCUCACUGGAUCAAACCUGAACAUGAGUUCACUUGCUGUGUGGAAUCACAUUACUGAAACCACUGACGGCAUUGUAGAGAUCAAAGUAAAUGAUCAUGAAAUCUUCUGGAAUAACAGAGGCAAUAGAAUUAAGGCAUUCGGUGCUGCUGCUGCAUCUGGAAACUUCUCCAUCCUGAUUGAAGAUGUGCAGCUGUCUGAUCUGGGGCUCUACCGCUGUGAACUCUUCAGAGAUACCAACUGUUCUCUGGGCUAUAAAGAGAUAAACAUCAGUCUGGCUGCUGAGUUUUCACCGCUCAAUAACUGGCAGCUCAUAGUUGCUGCAGGAGGAGGAGGAGGAUUCCUCCUUCUCUGUCUGAUCACCGUGUGUGUUUACUGGACAUGGACAAAACGACAAACAGUUGAUGCAUCAGUCAACCACACAUCACACAAUUGUCAUGACAGUGAAGGACAAAAAAAUGAUGAAAUAACCUAUGCGUCAGUUGUUCCUAAGUCACACAAUUGCCAUAACAGUGAAGGACCAAAAAAUGAUGAAAUAACCUAUGCAUCAGUUGCUCUUAAAUCACACAACUGCCAUGACAGUGAAGUUCUUCUGAAUAAUAAACCUGUAAAAGGCUCUGCAUCAGAAACCAUGGUCAACCCAGAGACGGUCCUUUACUCUACCCUCAAGCAAAGAGAGGGAAGAUGA